UGGUAUCUUGGUCGCGGUGUCAUUCUUACUAAAGAUAACCUUAUUAAGAGAAAUUGGCAUGGAAUCCCACAAUGUGUCUUUUGUCACCAUGAUGAGACAAUAAAACAUUUAUUCUUCCAAUGCAAAUUGGCUCAUUCCGUAUGGCCAGUCAUCCAGAUAGCUUCUAGCUUGUAUCCUCCUUGUAGUGUUGCUAAUGUAUCUGGCAACUGGUUACAUGGAAUAGAUUACAGGUUUAGAACUAUUCUUAGGGUGGGGGCACUUGUCGUUAUUUGGUUGCUUUGGCUAUGUAGAAAUGAUAAGGUGUUUAACGAUAAAGGUACUUCUCUGAUGCAGGUUAUCUACAGGUGUACCGGGACUCUUUGUUUAUGGUCCUCUCUACAACGUGUGGAGAAUCGAGACCUGUUUACGGAGGUGUCUACAUGA
rnacentral:rRNA from 1 species